rnacentral:lncRNA from 1 species
CCGUGAAUAACUCUCUCAUCUUAACGAAUUUGGACAAUCUAUAAAUUGGGUCUUGUAGAGGAAAUACAAGACUACAAGAUCCAACAAUCAUAACCUCUAAACAAACAUCAGAUCUGGGAUAAAUCAGCCAUCAAAGUAGCUACCAAAGCUGUUCUUCACGAAGAACAGUUCGAGGUGCCUACUUUGGACCUCUAUAACUUGAUGAUCGUGUAACGUUUAUGUGAUCUAUCAAUUCCAGUAUGUAUACAAUAUUUAGGACUACAACCUUAACACUUAACAUCAUCAUAAAAAUAAGAAAUCAAGCAUCUAAAGUAUGGUCAAACCUUGUCAGAAAAAUUAACACUUAGAAAAUUCUGGGCUGCCCAGAAUUUUCCGGUCAAUGCCGGUCAACCCACUUUGACCUUAAAUAACUCUUAAUCCAUAAUAUAUAUGGACCUGAUUCUUUUUGGAGGUUAAAUACCACAUAACAAGCUACACAUAUCAACCUUUAGAACACAAAAUACAUUAAAGAUGACCGAGAUAUAAGGCCUGACAUUUGCCAAAAAAAAAUUUCUGGACACUUAGAAUAUUUUCUGGGUUUGAAAAACAGCCGGUCAAUGCCGGUCAACCCACUUUGACCGCUUAUAAAUCCCGAUCUACAAUAGAUAUAGACCUGAUUCCUUUUGGAGUUUAAAGACCACAUAUCAGGCUACCUAUAACAACUUUUAA